AGGGUCUCAUUGUGUAGUACAGGAUGGCAUUGAACUCUGACCUUUUUGCUUUGCAGGCCUCUUGAAUGCUUGGAUUAUAGAUGGAAACAUGCCCAGCCCGAGGGGCUGAAUCAUUCUAGUUUGUCAUGUACAGAAUCAUCUUGAUGCAAUGUAGCCUUCAACUUCCCCAGCAGACAGGCUGUCUGGAGGUCACAAACAGAAAGAUGCUUCACCAGACCUACAUAUUCUUGCUAAGACAGUUGAUCACAUUGUAUGGGCCUGGGCCUACCUUCAGCAAUCCCUAGGCUGGAGGGCCCUGUUCUGGUCAGUGAGCCUCUUGGAGAGUUU